GACGAACGCUGGCGGCGUGCCUAAUACAUGCAAGUUGAGCGCUGAAGGAUGGUACUUGUACCAACUGGAUGAGCAGCGAACGGGUGAGUAACGCGUGGGGAAUCUGCCUUUGAGCGGGGGACAACAUUUGGAGACGAAUGCUAAUACCGCAUAAAAACUUUAAACACAAGUUUUAAGUUUGAAAGAUGCAAUUGCAUCACUCAAAAAUGAUCCCGCGUUGUAUUAGCUAGUUGGUGAGGUAAAGGCUCACCAAGGCGAUGAUACAUAGCCGACCUGAGAGGGGGGUCGGCCAAAUUGGGACUGGGAACAGGCUCAAGACUCCUAGGGAGGGAGCAGGAGGGGAAUAUCGGACAAUGAGGGAAGGCUGACCGAGCAACGCCGGGUGAGUGAAGGAGGGUUUCGGAUCGUAAAACUCUGUUGGUAGGGAAGAACGUUGGUGAGAGUGGAACGCUCAUCAAGUGACGGUAACUACCCAGAAAGGAACGGCUAACUACGUG
rnacentral:rRNA from 1 species